UGACACCUAGAUGAACACUUUACAGUGGGUUAUAUGACUGUAAGUCAUUCCCUUCAAAUGCUAUUGAAGUUAGAAUCAUGUAUAACAGUGUCGUAUGUAACUUUAGAGACGGUCACUUAAUUUCCGCAUAUCCGCGAAUAUCGAACGUCCAACGUCACACCAACUUUAUUCCAGUAUUUACUCACACCAUAAAAGAGCUGGUGCAAUAUAUAAAGCAUUACUGUGCACCACAGCACAGCUUCUCAAAUCAGAAAGAAUGGUUUUUAUAACAUUAUGGUUUCUAUCACAGCAACUCUGACAGUUCAUGUAACAUACAGUCCACUGUCUAUCAUACCCAUAGUAGCCUAUGUGCUCAUUCCAACACAAAGUUGGUCCUCCCAUUUUUCUGUUAGGAAUGCAAUAAGCUCCACUCUUCUGGGAAGGCUUUCCACUAGGAGCGUGACUGUGGGGAUUUGUGAUCAUUCAGCAAACCGGAUUGUUCAUUUAGCUCAAAAAAAUUGAGGAAACUAAUUACCACAAAAUUUUUAAGUUGAUACACUUAAAUAUAACAAAAAUUUAACUCAAACUUGUUAUAUUUAAGUGUAUUUGGCUUAAAGAAAUUAAUCCCGUUUUACAGUAUAAGAGUAUUAGUGAGGUCAGGCACUGAGGAGAUCUGGGGUGCAGUCGGUGUUCCAGUUCAUCCCAAAGGUGUUCAGUGACGUUGAGGUCAGGGAUCUGUGCAGGACACUUGAGCUCUUUUUCCGAAACCUUGCCCCACACGAAUUUAUGGAGAUACUAGAGAUCCAGAUCCUUUCUGCCUCUGGAUGGAGCUCAAAUCUUCUCUAAUUCCAGACUGCUGGGACUACGGCUGCUCCUAAGGCCAUACAGACUUCAUAUAAAUCCAUAACGAACUUUUUCACACUAACUGUUGUUACCCAGAUGAGGAUGGGUUCCCUUCUGAGUCGGGUUCCUCUCAAGCCAUAUACAGUUGGUACAGUGCACAGUGAAACGAAACAAUGUUCCUCUAGGACCAUGGUGCUACAGAAAAUAAUACAGUAAACCACAUGAGACACAGAACUAAUAAGAUCCACAAACAUUCUACAUAAAGUGCACGUGCAGACGUGUGCUAACAACACAGGACAGUACAGUAACUACUAAGACAGGACAAUAGGCACAGUAAGUGACGGUGUAGCGCA